AUGUUCCUUGCUACGCUUGUGAUUCUAUCGUCUUCCGCGCAAUCCCAUGGCGGUGGAGUACCUCGUAAUGAACAACGCCGAUGACACUCCCGACGGCAUGCGUUUCAUUGACGAGAUCGGGAUCCUGCACAGCCAGCAGACGCUCACCAUGUCGACCGAUUUCAUAUGGAGGACCUUCCAACAGAUCGAUCUUGUAGACCGAAAGGAGGUCGCCCGAGUGAGCCUCUUCGUUGACAACAUGGACGGGGUGGCGUACACGAGCAACAACGAGAUCCACGUGAGCGCCAAGUACCUUGGGGGCUUAUCAGGGGAUGUCAAGGGGGAGUUCACGGGAGUCUUGUACCACGAGAUGACGCACGUGUGGCAGUGGAACGGGGCCGGGCAGGCCCCGGGCGGGCUCAUUGAGGGGAUUGCGGAUUUCGUGAGGCUCCGAUCCGGGUAUGUGCCGGGCCACUGGGUGCAGCCGGGCCAUGGCGAUAGAUGGGAUCAGGGUUACGACGUGACGGCACGGUUUCUUGACUAUUGCGAUGGCCUUAGAAAUGGGUUCGUGGCUGAGCUGAACAAGAAGAUGAAGACUGGUUUUAGUGAUAACUACUUUGUUGACCUGCUGGCCAAGACCGUUGACCAGCUGUGGAGUGAAUACAAGGCUGCAUAUGCUAAUUGA